rnacentral:rRNA from 1 species
AAUAGAUACCCCGGUAGUCCACGCUGUAAACGAUGGAUGCUAGCUGUUACUCACAUCGACCUGAGUAGUAGCGAAGUUAACGCGUUAAGCAUCCCGCCUGGGGAGUACGGUCGCAAGAUUAAAACUCAAAGGAAUUGACGGGGACCCGCACAAGCGGUGGAGCGUGUUGUUUAAUUCGAUGGUAAGCGAAGAACCCUUACCCAGACUUGACAUCCUUGGAAGGCUUCCGAAAGGAGACUGUGCCCUUGGGAACCAAGUGACAGGUGUUGCAUGGCCGUCGUCAGCUCGUGUCGUGAGAUGUAUGGUUAAGUCCAUUAACGAGCGCAACCCUUAUGUUUAGUUGGAUUUUUCUAAACAGACUGCCCUGGCAACAGGGAGGAAGGAGGGGAUGACGUCAGGUCAGUAUUGCCCUUACGGUCUGGGGCUACAAACACGCUACAAUGGCCGGUACAAAGGGCAGCCAACCCGGCGAGGGGGGGGUCAAAGUCCCAUCAAAACCGGGUCUCAGUUCGGAUUGCAGGCUGAAACUCGCCUGCAUGAAGCCGGAAUCGCUAGUAACGGUG